rnacentral:lncRNA from 1 species
GUGCGGAUCUGAACUUGGGUCCUCCUGCUUGCUUAUUGGACACUUUACUAAGAGAGCCAUCUCUCCAGCCCCAAAACUGUCUUAAUUAGUCAUGGCCUUUCCUGUGCCUGCAUAUACUAGAUAUAGUCUGAGGUCAUAGAAACUGAAUAGCUCUUUAUGGAGUAGGUAGACGUCUACCAUGAUCAAGCAUGUUUUAUUCAGAAACAGAACACUUCUGGUAUUAGAGGUAAUUUUACUAAAUAAAACCUGGUACUUCCUGCUGAUUGCUUAAAGGUUAUUUAAGAGAUUGGAUUUCCUCCUGAGUAAAGAACUUGGCCAUCAUAUUUAAGUGAUUAUAUAAUGUGUAUUCAGUGUUCUGACAGUGUCCAGAUGGCAGCUACCAUGUGCAAAUUAAAAGGGAUGUGUCAGUUGUGCUACCAUUACAUAGUACAAUAUUCAUUACAUAUGGAAAAGACUCAGAGAAUGUCGAGAGACGUUACCUCUGUGCUGAUUGUGUGAGCAGAAGCAUGGAUUCAUGUUAGCGGCUGCAGAUCACAUAAAGCUUUAUUAAGUAUUCUACCUCUGAGUGAUGCAUUAUUUGAUAACAUUGUUUUAAAAACUUCUUAUGAGAAUCUGUGGCUUCUAUGCAUCCUAAAGAUGGAAAUAGAGGUGCUGGGGCCUCAGAAUCUGAAACACCAAGGAAAUAAUUUUAGCAACACUUGAAAAGAAACGGAAUUAAAAAAAAAAAAAAAAAAAAAAAAAACCAAAACU